rnacentral:rRNA from 1 species
UACGAAGGGUGCAAGCGUUACUCGGAAUUACUGGGCGUAAAGCGUGCGUAGGUGGUGAGUUAAGUCUGUCGUGAAAGCCCCGGGCUCAACCUGGGAAUGGCGAUGGAUACUGGCUCGCUAGAGUGCGGUAGAGGGCGGUGGAAUUCCCGGUGUAGCAGUGAAAUGCGUAGAGAUCGGGAGGAACAUCAGUUGCGAAGGCGGCCACCUGGGCCAGCACUGACACUGAGGCACGAAAGCGUGGGGAGCAAACAGG